GGAGCCGGCCAAGCAGCCGCGGCGCGCAAGCGUCGAGGAAAGUCCGGGCUCCACAGGGCAGGGUGCCAGGUAACGCCUGGGCGGCGCGAGCCGACGGACAGUGCAACAGAGAGCAAACCGCCGAUGGCCCCGCAAGGGGAUCAGGCAAGGGUGAAACGGUGCGGUAAGAGCGCACCGCGAGUCUGGCAACAGACCGGCACGGCAAACCCCACCUGGAGCAAGACCGAAUAGGGGGACCAUGACGCGGCCCGCGUCGUCCCCGGGUUGGUCGCUCGAGCCGCGCGGCGACGCGUGGCCUAGAGGAAUGGCUGCUCACGACAGAACCCGGCUUAUCGGCCGGCUCCUUUG
rnacentral:RNase_P_RNA from 1 species